rnacentral:rRNA from 1 species
AUUACGUCCCUGCCCUUUGUACACACCGCCCGUCGCUACUACCGAUUGAACGGCUUAGUGAGGCCUUCGGAUUGACUUUGGGGAGCCGGCAACGGCACCCUAUUGUUGAAAAGUUGAUCAAACUUGGUCGUUUAGAGGAAGUAAAAGUCGUAACAAGGUUUCCGUAGGUGAACCUGCGGAAGGAUCAUUACUGAAGAUACUAGGGUUUUGAGACUGCGUCUAAAGCGGACGCGUGCUCGACUCUUACUCUUUAUCCACACACACCUCUGUGCACUAUGGUAUGCAAAAUCCCCCUUUUCACAUAAAACCGAGUUAUAUGCAUGUCUAUUUUAUGCUCUACGGAGUAAUAUACAACUUUCAACAACGGAUCUCUUGGCUUUCGCAUCGAUGAAGAACGCAGCGAACGUGCGAAACGUAAUGUGAAUUGCAGAAUUCAGUGAAUCAUCGAAUCUUUGAACGCAUCUUGCGCUCCUUGGCAUUCCGAGGAGCAUGCCUGUUUGAGUGUCGUGAAAUACUCAAUUUCAACCAUUUUGUUUGAAAUUGGAUAUGGAUGUUGUUGUGGCAACACAACUCGCCCUAAAUGCAUUAGCGAUCUGGCCUCGAUCACGUACAGUGUGAUAAGAAGAAAAGCAUUGUCGGUUCGAGUCAAAAAGUCGCUUCUAACUGUCCAAAGACAAAUCAUUUAUGUCAUUUGACCUCAAAUCAGGUAGGACUACCCGCUGAACUUAAGCAUAU